rnacentral:rRNA from 1 species
UACGGGGGGGAGCAAACGUUGUUCGGAUUUACUGGGCGUAAAGGGCGCGUAGGCGGUCGUGACAAGUCACUUGUGAAAUCUCCGGGCUUAACUCGGAACGGUCAAGUGAUACUGUCGUGCUAGAGUACAGAAGGGGCAACUGGAAUUCUCGGUGUAGCGGUGAAAAUGCGUAGAUAUCGAGAGGAACACCUGCGGCGAAGGCGGGUUGCUGGGCUGAUACUGACGCUGAGGCGCGAAAGCUAGGGGAGCGAACGGG